GCUCCGCUGCCGGGAUGGUGGGCGGCGGUGCGCCGACUGGCGGUGUCCUCCUGGGUAGUCCUGCAAAAAAGCCGGUGGCCGGAUUCUCCGGCGCCGGCCCUCCGAAGCUUAAGUCAGAGGGGCUAAUCUGUGGGGGAAGUAGUGGAGGAGAGCCUGCUCUCCCUUUUUAUAAAGGGAUAUAGCGUUACCUGGGAGGUGACAGGGGAGUUUGUCUCCUUUUGCAAUAAUUGGACGCGAUCACGCUCAUUAAUGACGUUGUGGAGAAUAAGGCCGGAUCAGACCGGAGUCAGGGAGCUGUCACGGUCGGUUAGGCCCAUUGGGGUGUGUUGAACCGCCGGUUAUGGUAGGCCCGGGGGUUCGUAGAUGGUAAGUGCAUUAAUUGCUGAGUGAACCGGUGGUCAGGGUGAGCCAUACGCUGUGAUGGUUCAGUGAUCCGGAGAUCGUCUUGAGCUGUGUUCAUUUAAUGACUGAGUGCAUCGGAGGCCCGAGGGGGUCUUAUGCAUUAAUGACAGGUCAUGCCGAGUUCCUGUGGAGAUCCCGUGCCUUGAUGACUUAGGGACGGUGGCAGAUUGUAGUGGAGUUACGUACUUGGUUGUCAGACCUGUUGGAGGAUUAGGCAGUGAUUGGGUAUUCGGCUAAGGCAUGGGCCUAGCGGAGGUGCCGAGCCGAGCAGGUC
rnacentral:lncRNA from 1 species